GUGACAUUAGUCCUAUUUGUUAAAAGAGCAAACAGAGCGCCCACCGCAGCCCGAGGCCUUGGAAAAGCCUCUCUCCAGCCUCCCCAAGGGCCAUUCCGCUCCAGAACAAUGGAAUGUGUGCCCUUUCUCUGCUCUUUCGGAGGGGAGGGCAAUAACAAGAGCUAGAGGUGGACAUCUGUGCCUAGCGGUUGGCUUCUGACUUCACACACCACCCUUUCAGGGGCUUGGCUGUCUACAAAGAGGAGCAGCACUCUUCGUGGCUUUGAAGAGAGGAAAGAUACACACAGGUCGUGUCCCUCCGCCGCCGCGCACGGAGCCUCAGGGUCGGGGUCCGGGCAGGCCCUUCUCCGGUGACAGCAUCCAUAGCUCCAACUCAAUUGAACACAAGUCCGUCCCUCGCCUCAGGUAGGUGGCAGGCACUCAGAGGC
rnacentral:lncRNA from 1 species